CACGUAGUUAGCCGUGGCUUAUUCUUACGGUACCGUCACUUUCUUCGUCCCGUACAAAAGAAGUUUACAAUCCGAAAACCUUCAUCCUUCACGCGGCAUUGCUGCAUCAGGGUUCCCCCCAUUGUGCAAUAUUCCCCACUGCUGCCUCCCGUAGGAGUCUGGGCCGUGUCUCAGUCCCAAUGUGGCCGUUCAACCUCUCAGUCCGGCUACCAAUCGUCGCCUUGGUGGGCCGUUACCUCACCAACUAGCUAAUUGGACGCGAGGCCAUCUCAGAGCAAUAAAUCUUUGAUAUAAAAGGGAUGCCCCUCUCAUAUGUUAUGCGGUAUUAGCACACCUUUCGGUGUGUUAUCCCCCUCUCUGAGGCAGGUUCCUCACGCGUUACUCACCCGUCCGCCACUAAGCCUCCUCUUCCGUUGACCGAAGUCUCCUUCCAAGGCGCUCCGUUCGACUUGCAUGUGUUAGGCAUGCCGCCAGCGUUUUAUCCUGAGCCAGGAUCAAACUCU
rnacentral:rRNA from 1 species